GCAGCAGGCGCGAAAACUUCACACUGCAGGAAACUGUGAUGAGGGAACUCCAAGUGACUGCACAAUGUGUAGCCUUUUCUUGAAUCUUAAUAGUUCUUGGAAUAAGGGCUGGGAAAGACCGGUGCCAGCCGCCGCGGUAAUACCGGCAGCUCAAGUGGUCGUCGCUUUUAUUGGGCCUAAAACGUCCGUAGCCUGUUUGGUAAAUCUGUGGGUAAAUCAACGAGCUCAACUCGUUGAAUUCUGCAGAGACUGCCAGACUAGGGACCGGGAGAGGUAUGAGGUACUCUGGGGGUAGGGGUAAAAUCCUGUCAUCCUCAGAGGACCACCUGUUGCGAAGGCGUCAUACUGGAACGGAUCCGACGGUCAGGGACGAAGCCUAGGGGCACGAACCGGAUUAGAUACCCGGGUAGUCCUAGGUGUAAACGCUGUGGAUUUGGUGUGUGGGGUCCGCAAUGGGCCCCAUGUGCCGGAGUGAAGAUGUUAAAUCCACUGCCUGGGGAGUACGGUCGCAAGGCUGAAACUUAAAGGAAUUGGCGGGGGAGCACUGCAACGGGAGGAGCGUGCGGUUUAAUUGGAUUCAACGCCGGAAAACUCACCAAGGCCGACGGACAUAUGAAGAUCAGCGUAACGAGCUUAUCGGAUUGUUCGAGAGGUGGUGCAUGGCCGUCGUCAGUUCGUACUGUAAAGCGUUCUGUUAAGUCAGAUAACGAACGAGACCCGCAUCCUUAUUUGCGACCCUCAUGUCCGCAUGAGGCGCACCAUAGGGAGACCGCUGGUGUGAAACCAGAGGAAGGCGCGGGCAACGACAGGUCAGUAUGCCCCGAAUGUCUUGGGCUACACGCGCGCUACAAAGGACAGGACAAUGGGAAGCCACGCCGAGAGGCGGCGCUACCCCGAAACCUGUUCAUAGUUCGGAUCGAGGGCUGUAACUCGCCCUCGUGAAGCUGGAUUCCGUAGUAAUCGUGUUUCAACAUAGCACGGUGAAUAUGCCCCUGCUCCUUGCACACACCGCCCGUCAAACCAUC
rnacentral:rRNA from 1 species